AAAUUGAAGAGUUUGAUCAUGGCUCAGAUUGAACGCUGGCGGCAGGCCUAACACAUGCAAGUCGAGCGGAAACGAGUUAUCUGAACCUUCGGGGAACGAUAACGGCGUCGAGCGGCGGACGGGUGAGUAAUGCCUAGGAAAUUGCCCUGAUGUGGGGGAUAACCAUUGGAAACGAUGGCUAAUACCGCAUGAUGCCUACGGGCCAAAGAGGGGGACCUUCGGGCCUCUCGCGUCAGGAUAUGCCUAGGUGGGAUUAGCUAGUUGGUGAGGUAAGGGCUCACCAAGGCGACGAUCCCUAGCUGGUCUGAGAGGAUGAUCAGCCACACUGGAACUGAGACACGGUCCAGACUCCUACGGGAGGCAGCAGUGGGGAAUAUUGCACAAUGGGCGCAAGCCUGAUGCAGCCAUGCCGCGUGUAUGAAGAAGGCCUUCGGGUUGUAAAGUACUUUCAGUCGUGAGGAAGGUAGUGUAGUUAAUAGCUGCAUUAUUUGACGUUAGCGACAGAAGAAGCACCGGCUAACUCCGUGCCAGCAGCCGCGGUAAUACGGAGGGUGCGAGCGUUAAUCGGAAUUACUGGGCGUAAAGCGCAUGCAGGUGGUUUGUUAAGUCAGAUGUGAAAGCCCGGGGCUCAACCUCGGAAUAGCAUUUGAAACUGGCAGACUAGAGUACUGUAGAGGGGGGUAGAAUUUCAGGUGUAGCGGUGAAAUGCGUAGAGAUCUGAAGGAAUACCGGUGGCGAAGGCGGCCCCCUGGACAGAUACUGACACUCAGAUGCGAAAGCGUGGGGAGCAAACAGGAUUAGAUACCCUGGUAGUCCACGCCGUAAACGAUGUCUACUUGGAGGUUGUGGCCUUGAGCCGUGGCUUUCGGAGCUAACGCGUUAAGUAGACCGCCUGGGGAGUACGGUCGCAAGAUUAAAACUCAAAUGAAUUGACGGGGGCCCGCACAAGCGGUGGAGCAUGUGGUUUAAUUCGAUGCAACGCGAAGAACCUUACCUACUCUUGACAUCCAGAGAACUUUCCAGAGAUGGAUUGGUGCCUUCGGGAACUCUGAGACAGGUGCUGCAUGGCUGUCGUCAGCUCGUGUUGUGAAAUGUUGGGUUAAGUCCCGCAACGAGCGCAACCCUUAUCCUUGUUUGCCAGCGAGUAAUGUCGGGAACUCCAGGGAGACUGCCGGUGAUAAACCGGAGGAAGGUGGGGACGACGUCAAGUCAUCAUGGCCCUUACGAGUAGGGCUACACACGUGCUACAAUGGCGCAUACAGAGGGCGGCCAACUUGCGAAAGUGAGCGAAUCCCAAAAAGUGCGUCGUAGUCCGGAUUGGAGUCUGCAACUCGACUCCAUGAAGUCGGAAUCGCUAGUAAUCGUGGAUCAGAAUGCCACGGUGAAUACGUUCCCGGGCCUUGUACACACCGCCCGUCACACCAUGGGAGUGGGCUGCAAAAGAAGUAGGUAGUUUAACCUUCGGGGGGACGCUUACCACUUUGUGGUUCAUGACUGGGGUGAAGUCGUAACAAGGUAGCGCUAGGGGAACCUGGCGCUGGAUCACCUCCUUAUGCGAUGAU
rnacentral:rRNA from 1 species